UGACCAAGAGGAAGUCGAUGACAGUACAGU
rnacentral:piRNA from 1 species